rnacentral:rRNA from 1 species
UACGAAGGGUGCAAGCGUUAAUCGGAAUUACUGGGCGUAAAGGGUGCGUAGGCGGUUCGUUAAGUCUGUCGUGAAAUCCCCGGGCUCAACCUGGGAAUGGCGAUGGAUACUGGCGAGCUAGAGUGUGUCAGAGGAUGGUGGAAUUCCCGGUGUAGCGGUGAAAUGCGAAGAGAUCGGGAGGAACAUCAGUGGCGAAGGCGGCCAUCUGGGACAACACUGACGCUGAAGCACGAAAGCGUGGGGAGCAAACAGG